rnacentral:rRNA from 1 species
AGCGAACGCUGGCGGCAGGCCUAACACAUGCAAGUCGAACGAACUCUUCGGAGUUAGUGGCGGACGGGUGAGUAACACGUGGGAACGUGCCUUUUGGUUCGGAAUAACUCAGGGAAACUUGUGCUAAUACCGAAUGUGCCCUUCGGGGGAAAGAUUUAUCGCCAUUAGAGCGGCCCGCGUCUGAUUAGCUAGUUGGUGAGGUAACGGCUCACCAAGGCGACGAUCAGUAGCUGGUCUGAGAGGAUGACCAGCCACACUGGGACUGAGACACGGCCCAGACUCCUACGGGAGGCAGCAGUGGGGAAUCUUGCGCAAUGGGCGAAAGCCUGACGCAGCCAUGCCGCGUGAAUGAUGAAGGUCUUAGGAUUGUAAAAUUCUUUCACCGGGGACGAUAAUGACGGUACCCGGAGAAGAAGCCCCGGCUAACUUGGUG